UUAAGUUCAGCGGGUAGUCCUACCUGAUUUGAGGUCAGAUUUCAAAGUUGUUUUGACCGCCACUCGUCUAGACGGUCGUGGAGGGGCACAAUGUCAGGGGAACUUCUCGGAGGAGAGCGAGGUAGUUACAACGCCCAACCGAGUUCGACCCGCAGGCCCAACCGAAGCAUUUGAGGGGAGCGGCCUCACGACCGCAGUCC
rnacentral:misc_RNA from 1 species